rnacentral:rRNA from 1 species
GAGUUUGAUCAUGGCUCAGGAUGAACGCUAGCGGCAGGCCUAAUACAUGCAAGUCGAGGGAGAAACUGUUUUCGAAUAGUGGAGACCGGCGCACGGGUGCGUAACACGUAUACAACCUACCUUUUACUGGGGAAUAGCUCAGAGAAAUCUGAAUUAAUACCCCAUAAUAUUACACUUUGGCAUCAUCGUGUGAUUAAAGCUCCGGCGGUAAUUGAUGGGUAUGCGUUGCAUUAGCUUGUUGGUAAGGUGACGGCUUACCAAGGCUACGAUGCAUAGGGGGUCUGAGAGGAUGAUCCCCCACACUGGUACUGAGACACGGACCAGACUCCUACGGGAGGCAGCAGUAGGGAAUAUUGGGCAAUGGACGAAAGUCUGACCCAGCCAUGCCGCGUGCAGGAUGACGGUCCUAUGGAUUGUAAACUGCUUUUAUAUGAGAAGAAACUCUUGGAUGCGUCCGAGGCUGACGGUAUCAUAUGAAUAAGGAUCGGCUAACUUCGUGCCAGCAGCCGCGGUAAGACGAAGGAUUCGAGCGUUGUCCGGAUUUACUGGGUUUAAAGGGUGCGUAGGCGGAUUAUUAAGUCAGUGGUGAAAGCCCGCAGCUCAACUGCGGAACUGCCAUUGAAACUGGUAAUCUUGAAU